rnacentral:rRNA from 1 species
AUAGCCCAGCACCGAAUCCUUCACCAUUUUGGGUGACAGGAAAUGUGGUGUUUAGGCCGUACCUUGUCCCGACACGUCUCUCCUCAAGUCCACUUGAUUGUGGCCCCAGGCCCAGAGAGGGUGUAAGGCCCGUGGAGGCGAGAUGUUCGGUACCUGGUGCGUCCUUAGAGUCGGGUUGUUUGGGAAUGCAGCCCUAAGCGGGUGGUAAACUCCAUCCAAGGCUAAAUACUAGCACGAGUCCGAUAGCGAAGAAGUACCGCGAGGGAAGGUUGAAAAGAACUUUGAAGAGAGAGUUCAAGAGUACGUGAAACCGCUGAGAGGCAAACUGGUGGAACUGAAAUGGUCCCGAGGAAUUCAGCCGUUGGAGGUUGCACAGUCGGUGGUGAUUGAUUUAACGACAGCGCCAUCGGAUGACGUUUCCAUCAUCGGUGCACUUUCCUCGUUUGGGCCCGACCACGACCGGUGAGUUGAUCUGUCUGUCGUGCUUGGAAGAUAGCGCCAUCUUCGGAAGGCGUGUUAUAGACUUGCAUACGGUACAGUCGACGCACUGGAUGAAAAUGCCUGCCCAUUUGGGCUCAUAUGGCGGCUGUUUUAUCGUCGAGUGCCGAUGUCACUACUUCGGUAGAGUCGUUGGCCUCUGAUGGCAUUAUGGUUGUCCUCUAUGAUUGGCAUUGUUAAGUCUGUGGUUGUGAAGUAGGUAGUCCACCUGACCCGUCUUGAAACACGGACCAAGGAGUCUAACAUGUGCGCGAGUCAUUGGGUUCACGAAACCUAAAGGCGCAGUGAAGGUAAAGAUCUGUUUUGGCAGAUUGAGGUGGGAUGCUGGGUUACGCGCCCAGCCGCACUACCGGCCCGUUCUAUAUGUAUCUCAUAGGAGCGGAGCAAGAGCGUACACGUUGGGACCCGAAAGAUGGUGAACUAUGCUUGCGCAGGUCGAAGCCAGA